CCUACGGGAGACUGCAGUCGGGCAUAUUGCGCAAUGGAGGAAACUCUGACGCAGUGACGCCGCGUGCAGGAAGAAGGUUUUCGGAUUGUAAACUGCUUUAGACAGGGACGAAAAAAGACAGUACCUGUAGAAUAAGCUCCGGCUAACUACGUGCCAGCAGCCGCGGUCAUACGGAGGGCGCAAGCGUUAUCCAGAUUUAUUGUGGGUAAAGGGUGAGUAGACGGAGAAGCAAGUUAGUUGUGAAAUCCCUCGGCUUAACUGAGGAACUGCAACUAAAACUACUUCCCUUGAGUACUGGAGAGGAAAGUGGAAUGCCUAGUGUAGCGGUGAAAUGCGUAGAUAGUAGGAAGAACCCCAGUGGCGAAGGCGACUUUCUGGACAGUAACUGACGUUGAGGCACGAAAGUGUGGGGAGCAAACAGGAUUAGAUACCCCUGUAGUC
rnacentral:rRNA from 1 species